UGAGUAAGACAGACAGUCGCAUGGCGGCGGCGAAAGCCCCGCCAUGAGGAAAGUCCGGGCUCCACAGGGCAAGAAUAACGGGUAACGCCCGCCGAAGGCGACUUCAGGAAAAGUGCAACAGAAAUAAACCGCCAUGACGCAAAUCAUGCUGACGGCCCCAUCGAGGGGCCGCGCAUGAUUUGACUGUGGAUGCCCUUCGGGCAUCCACAGUCGUGGCAAGGGUGGAAAGGCGAGGUAAGAGCUCACCCAUCGGCUGGAGACUGUCCGAUGCUGUAAACUCUAUUCGGAGCAACACCGUGGGAGGACAUUAAGAUCGCGCUGACGGCCCCAUCAAGGGGCCGCGCGAUUGGAUCGUGUUGACACGAUUCGCGGCUGGCCCGGCCGUCCUCAAGGAGGUGGCUGGAGCGGCCUGGCAACAGGCCGCCUAGAUAGAUGACUGUCAGAUACAGAACCCGGCUUACAGUCUUGCUCAUUGA
rnacentral:RNase_P_RNA from 1 species